rnacentral:lncRNA from 1 species
UUUUGAAAGCUAACCUGGCAGGACCCAUUUAACUGUAGGUACCACAAAUAGAAAUCUAUCUAACCUGCAGGUACUUGGUCUAUCUGACCACACUAAGGAAUGCUGAAGCAGAAGACUUCAGUCAAGAAGAUUCAACCAGCAGAAGGCUUAAAACAUUUCAGAAAUGAUUCUGACAAAAUCCUUAUUUGUCAAAGCCUGUCCUUGAAGACUUGAUGAGCUAACAUGAAUAAAGCUCACAUGGCUGCUGAUAUCCAUAUGGAAGCAUACCAUUCACUCUAAGAUAAAAAGGGUCUUAUAGGCUCAAUCACUCAAAGCAUAUCAAAUGAGAAGAAUCCUCAAGGAAGUUCACAUCAGAGGAUCAUCGAGCAUUAAUCAUGAGGAACUCAUUACGGAAGAAGAGCUCCACAAGUACAAACUGACAGGGAAGACUACAUUCAUAGUGCUGUCAAAUGAUCGUAGAGUGAUCAGUCCUGAAGAUAUCCAUGUCUAUGAUAUAAGGAGAUUUAAUUGAUAGUGAUGAUUCUAGUCAAAAGAAGAUAUGCAAGGCUGCCUUCUGAUACACAUGAAGAAGAAGAACUCACAUCUCUCUAAAAAGAUAGUAUCAACCAUGGGGGAGCAGUGACCUACUAACAAAACAACAUCACUAAAAAUAUCAAAAAUAUACUAUGAAGCAAUGUACCAGUUAUAGAGUCCCAAAACUUUGUGGUUAACGAACCAAAUGAAGAUCCAUAGUCAGUAAGAACGUCUCAAAACGUACUACUGAUAACCUUGUAAAAGCUGAUCGUAUUGUAAAAGCUGAAGGACACCACGAUUACAGCCAACGCAAAUGUCUAAUACCGAUAGAGGAACUCCCAGUAGAAAAGGUCAAACGAGAUAUCAAUGCAAAUCACUUCUAAAAAGUUUUUCAUCUGGAAAAUGCCUCAGGGUCAAACCUGGCCCUUAGUUCACUCUAAGAGGUUGGCCCUUCUUGAGCUACCUUAACCCAGAAGGAAUGCUUAGUCAAGUUCAUCUGAAGGACCAAGAUAGACAACGAUCGUAGAGUAAAGUCUGGAGUAAUCUCAACGAUCGUAGUGCAACUUCAAUGAUCAUAGAAGUAAACUCGACGAUCGCAGUCUUCCCAGAGGAUACACUAGCUCAUGAGGAGCUCGAAAGAACUAGACAAAUGCCCAACUAUUCAGAUCAUGAGGAGCUAAGUUUGAAUACCGAUUGGAAAGAUGUUCUGCAGACUCACCUCAAAAGUUAAGUGCCCAAACUUUUAUAAAAUACAUCAAUGGUUAAGCUAUACAGUUUAAAAAUGAGGAUUACUGUCAAAACAUCCACUGAAGCAUCUCUCAGAAGACGAUCGUUGAGUCGAUAAAGAAAAACGUAGAGUCUAUAGCUACCUCACCAAGCUAAUCUACUUACUGAGAAAUGUCAAUAGUCAAUCCACGUCAGUAAAAUGCCUAUUCUCUUAAAAGGAACAUCAAACUGAAAAGUUUAUGGAGAGUUACAGUUUCUUACUGGGCAUCGUGCAACCAAUGAAUGGUUGACACAUCACAACUUAUGCAGAGUCAGAAGAAACUGUCAUAAAGACAAAUUCAAAUCUCAAAACAUUUAUCAGAAGCUAUUGAACCUCUCUCCCUCUCUUUUUCAAACCCUAGAAUCCUCUUCAUAACCUAAAUCCAUCAAACCUCUAGAUUCGCCCAAAUUGCAUUCAACUAUCUCUCAUAAGAGGUCUGAAACCAAAUACCCAUAUAUUUUGAACCCUCAUAAUGGAAGAAUGGCGAGUUAUAACUGGAAUCUAACUCGGCUUCAAGAAGUUUUAAAGAUUAGAAAAGAAGUUCAAGGACAUACUUGAGCUCGUAAAGAAAGCUGGGUUCUAUGAGUGCUUGGAGGCCGUCACUCUAGUCUAUACAGAGUUAGUGAAGCAGUUCUACUCCAAUGCAUCAAUAGAUUCUGGGCUUCUGUCCACGAAGGUUAAAGGAGCAAGUUUGAAGAUAAAGGCAUCAGACAUCAAUCAAUGUCUAGGGUUUCCCAACCAAGGUCUGAUAAACCUCGACGAAGUUGACAUUGAAGAAGGCAAGAGGUUAAUGUAUUACAAGAGGAACGUAAAUCUGAAGGAUAUGAAGAAAAAGGAGUUUCCUGAAGAAUUUGAAUUUUUGGCAGAGAUUAUAGGGAAAUGUAUCUUGUGCAAAUACACCGCACAUGAUACUUUAAAUGAUCUAUAACUCAGAGUCAUGAUUGCAAUCGUCAUGAAGCAACAGAUAAACUUUGGAGCCCUACUAAUUGAUUGGCUGAUCAAAUGGGUGAAAAAAGCUGAGAUGAAGAAGUCUACAGAUAGACCCCUUAUAAAGGUUUUUCAUGGAAGACUCUUGAGUAUAGUGUUAAAGAAAAAACUGAGAAGUAAGAUCAAGGAUGAUGACGGAGAACCACUGAAUGUCCAUAAAGUGAUGUCCCCACAGCUGUUUAUAAACUGGAAGAAAAAUCCCAAGGAAAAUAAGUGGCUAAUAACAACUGGGAGCAGCAGCAAGGUCUCUGCAAAGAAGAGGAAGGCACAAGUGGUGGAAAGUUCUUAUUCUGAUGACUCUGUAUCAGUAGCAGUCACACCAUCAAAGAAGAAGCCUAAGGGUGUGAAGAAUAUAGAGGUUCCACCAAGUCAUCUCUCCACUGAUAAGAAAAGGCAUGGAGCAGAAAUACAACAAGUAUCAACUACAGAAACCUCAAAAAGAAUAAGGAGUAACAGAUUACUCUUUGGGCCAUCCAAAGAGAAAGCAAAGGUGAUGAAGGAUUCAGCCCCAGUUCCCCAAGAAAGUCCAUCUAAAAAAGAAGAGGAUGUAGAGUCAGGAGAUGGGAAGAGAACUGAAAACUCUAAGAUUGAACCCUCGAAGAGCAAGUCCAACAAUAAAGAAAAAGCUGAGUCUAUGAAAGAAAUAGCCAACUCUGAUGGUGAAGAAGAAUAUGCAAGCCCUAUGGCUAACUCUCAGAGCAUCCACUCUGAUGAUGAAGAAAGGUUGCAAGUUUACACAACUGCAUCUUCUAAUGCAAAUGCUCCAACAAGCUCAUGUGAUGAUGUUGAGUCCAAAGAAGAAUGACCUGCCCCUAGUGUUGCUGAACAUUAAGGAAUCUUGUUUGAUGAUUCAAAGGCUUCAGAUUCUGAAGAAGAAGAAAAGUUUAACUCUCAUAUAGCUGAACCUCCAAGAAGAAGAAAGAGCAACAGACUACUUGCUAAAUCUAUCUCAAAGAAGCAAGGUGAACACUCUACUGCAAUCAUUGAGGUGAGUGAUGAUAAAUCUAAAUCCAAGGAAGAAGAGGUUGAAGAAGGUACUAGUGAUGAAAAUUAGCAAGAAGAAUUCACUGAUGAAUCUGAUGAAAAAAGUCAGCAUGAUUCAAGCUCAGAAGGUGAAAAAAUGGAGAAAGAUUCUAGUUCUGCAAAUCAGGAAUCAUAGGAACCAGCAUACUAUCUUGUCCUCUCUCCAGUAAGAAUCAGCAGAAGAAUAGUGGUGGAAGUUUCUGAUGAACCACUAUAAGUACCAGCAGAAAGAUGGGUAAGCUAUGGCAAUGAACAUCUCAAGGCUGUGAGGAUGAUUGCAUAUGAAGUAUUUAAAAAUUUGAACAACAUGGAGUUAGACUGCACAACUAUCCUCUACAAUCCUGAUGACCUUCUGAUGAGAUGGUUUUUCCACUGGAUGCCCUGGUUAAAGGCAUAUACUGAAAAGGAUGGAAGUUACUUCAGUUGGUGCUACUCUCAGUUUCCAAGCCUGGAGCUGGUGUCACAGAACUUCCCAAGGGUAAAGAAGUUUACAACCAUAAUGAUCAAAGACCAGCCUCACAACAAAGUCUACCGACAUACUGGAAAUCACUACAUUCCCUAUGAUCGUAGAGUGGGUUCUGAUGGCAGAAGGAUCAUGGCCAAGUUGAUGAUCGUAGAGUCCCUUCAUUCUACCAUUGAAAAUGAUCAAGUUCAGUUUGAGAAGCUUUCCUCUACCCAAGCACAAUUGUUUGAUAUUCCUUCAUCCUCCAACAGUGAGUGGUUGUGACACCCCCAAAUCCUGGUACUUUAUUUCCUCAAGAUUUGGUGUUCACUUAAUCAAAACGUUCAUUUCUAACUACCCAAUCAUAAUAAAACUGAAUACAUAAAAACCUUCCCUAUUAAAGGGUUACAUAAUAAAAAUCUCCCAGGUUAUCUAACCUUUAAUCAUCAUUCAAAUGCGGAAAUCAUUACAUAACUUCUUUAGAAUAAAAUCUAAGAUCAACAUAAUAAAAGUCUAACAUCUUAAUCAAAGUAAAAAUUACAAGUCUUCAUCACUUGUAUAUUUUUCCCUUUCCUUUGCUAGUCGAAGGUUCACCUACCUUCUCUUCUUUAACUGCAAUGAGUUUAUAAAUAUGCAAGAGUGAGCAAAACAAUUGCUCACUGGAUAUAAUAUGGAAUCAACAAGAGUAUAACAAUAAUAACUAUCAAAAUAGGCUCAUCAAAAGUGAAUAGUACUCUAUCAAUAAUAAUCAGAAACUGAAAUCCCAAAAUAUGGCAAUAUACAUCACUGAGGGUCGUAAGACCAUGAACUACGUCCACAGUUGCAAGUAAUCUUUCAACUCCAACUUUAACAGUCAUAAGACUAUAAGGACCUCGUACUUAGGGGGAUCAGCCCUUCGUACAAUGUAUUGUGCACAAAAAUUUUAAUGUUAUGCGUAAGUUAACCCCUAAUUAUAACAAUAGGGUUGUUCAUCUCAGUAUUUAGAGUACAAGUCCGCACCAAAGGAAGUUUGGUUUGGAUAAGCUUUCAAGGUAAUUUGGAAUUCAACGAACAUCAACUAAGGAUUAGUUGAAUAAAACCAAUAACAUUAUACUAUAGAAUAAUCAUGAUUGAAUCAAUCAUAGUAAACUAAAGUCAUGCUUUAGGAAUAAUCUAAUAGCAUACAAUUUGAAUAACUAUAAUACACCUUGCUUGAACCAUACUAAGCCAAGGUUAAUUAAAAUUGAAUACUAAGCAAGCAUAGCAAUUUGAACGAUAAAAAUGUUCGACAUUAGUAUAUAUAGUUGUGCAUGCUAAACAACAAGUUAAAUACAAGAAUAACUUGUUCGACAUCAAACCAAAGUUUAGACAGCUUGCAUCAUUAUAAGGUAAUCGAAUUGGAAAUAAUAAUUAGUUCAACAAGAUAAAGGAUAAGAAAACUUGCCUUGCUCGUAGGCCUGAAUCAAUUCGAAUCACAAUACCCUAUAUACAUAUAUAUAUAUAUAUAUAUACGUCAUCAUGACAUAGUUAGUCACUACCACCUUACAACUUAACUAACUACAUUCAUCAUGUAUGUUUGAUUAUUUAAUCACAUAAUUAAGUUAUAACACAAGUUAAUCUUUAAUACAUAAUUAUUCAUAGUAUAUAAAUACUAAAAUCAACAUUUUACAGUCCUACUAUCAUCACAUAACUUUUCUUAAAAUUUCAUGUACAAAAAGUACAUUGUCAUACCAUUCUGCUAACUCGCGCUGCGGCGCCACAGUUUACACUGUGGUUGGCGCUGCGGCGCUGAGCUGGCGCUGCGGCGCGAAUCACAAGCCAAAGAUUGGCGCUGCGGUGUGGCGCCGGCACUGCGGCGCGAGAUUAAUACUGCUGGGCCGCGCUGCGGCGCCAAACUCCAGAAUCUGGUGACCAAGCUCGGCAACAGUAUGAACAAAAGUCAAAUUGGCCUAAAAGCUCCAAUCUAAUAAACUAAUUAACAUGUAAUACGCAUAUAGACUUCAUAUAAACAUAUUGUGAAGACUUCUAACAUGAUUCUACCCAUAAAAUAACAUAAACAUCAAAUUUAUAACACCCAAUUUUAAUGUUUUUGGCAAAUACUCCAUAUUUGAUGUUUUCAAUGAAAAUCAACACUAUAAUUUUGUUUUUCAACCAAAACAGUUAAUUCAAAAUACCAUGGUUAUGAUUAUACAUACUCUAUCAAAUUCAAUAGUCAAUUUAUAUAUAUUAACAAUUAAUCAAACCUUAAUUUUAUUUUAAACUAAGUCAUACUCAUAUAUUUUUCAUAUGAACACUCUGUAAUAUAUCUUUCUUCACAAAUUGUAUACAUACAUCAAUUAAUUGACUAUACUCAUAUAUAAACUAAUGAAAAUAGUUUCACAACACUAAUUUAUCAUAUAAAGCCAUAUAUAACAAACAAUUUAUCAUUCAUGAAGAUUUUUACAAAGAACUUUUUUGAAGAGGAAAACUAACUAUAAAAGGAUUAAGAUCCUACCUUUGAUUAAUAAGAUGAUAGUUAUCUUGGAUUCUCAAACUUCUUUUCUCAAUUUCUUUCUCAAAUCCUCUCUAGAAUCCCUCAAGUUCUCUAUCUUUUCUUCUUUUCUUUCUUCUUCUUCUUCUGAGUUUCUCUUCUCCCAACUCUAGUUUUCGUAUUAUCAUAUAACGUAUAAUAAUAAUAAUAUAGAUAUUAAGUAUAGGAUUUUAACUGACAUUAGUUAUAAAAUUUUGAAAAUUAAAAACCAUAAGGCUUGUUUGGCUAGUUAACUAAAAAUUAACCCAUUAACCCUUACAGCUUGUUUGGUAAACCUAAUUAAAACAAUGGAAUAAUUCUUAUACCUUGUUUGAUAAAAUAUCAUUAGAUUAAAGACUUAAUAUGCAAUAAGACAUGUUUGGCAAAACUAAAUUAAACUCUUUUAAUUUAUUUUAACAAUUCCCUUAUAGCAAGGUUAUUUGUCACACUUCUUAUUAAAUUAAAUAAUCAACUUAAUCAAUUAAAAUAUUAAUCUAUUAAAUUACUUUAACACAUAAUUCAAUAUCACAUAAAUUAUAAUUUUAUUCAACCAACUAACACUUUAUUUUAAUCACAAAUUCUAAUUAAAAUACUAUAAUUCAUUUAAUCAUUAUAAGCUCUCUAGCUUACUUAUUAAAUUAAAUUAGUAUAUAAUCUCAUAACAAUUAAUUUAAUUAACUCCUUAAUUAUUUAUUCAACAAAUAAUUAACUAAACCACAUUAACUCAAAUUGAACAAUUAUUUAUUCAACCAUAAACAUAUCCAUUAAAUAUUUAUAUAAAUCAAUAAAUAUUUAAUAUUUAAUAUUUAAUUCUGGAAUGUUACAUCAUUCCCUCCUUACAAGGAUUCUGUCCUCAGAAUCACAACUCAAACAAAUCAUUCAUUACAUUCUUCCCUACUUAUAAAGAUUCUGUCCCCAGAAUCAAAGACACAGAUUAAGCAAACAACUCAGGGUAAUCUUUCAACAUUUUCUCUUCGAGUUCCCACGUAGCUUCUUCAGCGUUGUGGUUCCUCCAUAUCACCUUCACAGAAGGUAUCACUUUAUUCUUGAGCACUUGUUCUUUCCUGUCAACUAUCUGGAUAGGAACCUCUUCAUAAGACAAAUCUUUCUCGAACUGCAAUGGUUCGUACUCGAUCACGUGUUUGUAGUCUGGUUUAUAUGAUCGUAACACCGAAAUGUGAAAAAUAUUAUGAAUGUUUUGCAAUUCUGGAGGUAGGGCUACCUCAUAUGCUACCUCUCCAACUUUCCUCAGCACUUCAUAGGGUCCAAUAAACCUCGGACUUAGUUUACCCUUUUUACCAAAUCGAAUCUUCCCCUUCCAAGGAGAAACUUUUAGGAACACGUAAUUUCCUAUGUCAAAUACACGAUCUUGUCUGUGUUGAUCAGCAUAUUUCUUUUGUCUGUCUUGAGCAGCUAUCAAUCUUGUCCUGAUGAGUUGGACAACCUCAGUAGUUUGUUGUACCAGUUCUGGUUCUAACAGUUGACGUUCACCGACUUCAUCCCAGCACAGUAGAGUUCUGCACUUCCUGCCGUAUAAUGCUUCAUAAGGCGGCAUGCCGAUGCUAGCGUGGUAACUGUUAUUGUAGGCAAAUUCCACCAACGGUAAUUGUUCAUCCCAGCUUCCUUUGAAAUCCAUUACGCAUGCUCUCAGCAUAUCUUCCAAUAUCUGAAUCGUUCGUUCGCUUUGGCCAUCUGUUUGCGGAUGAUAUGCUAUACUCAUUCGCAACUGUGUUCCCAUACAUUCUUGUAGUCUCUUCCAGAAUUUAGACGUGAAUCGUGGAUCUCUAUCAGACACAAUUGAUACUGGCACUCCAUGCCUCGAAACUAUCUCUUUAAUGUACAAUCUUGCCAACUGAUCAAGAUUGAAUCUAAUCUUUAUUAGUAAAAAGUGCGCUGAUUUCGUCAGUCUGUCCACUAUCACCCAAAUCGCAUCGCAUCCCCUCUGAAUAAUUGGAAGACCCUCCACAAAAUCCAUCGUGAUGUGUUCCCACUUCCAUUUCGGUAUUUCCAACGGUUGGAGUAAUCCGCUGGGUCUUUGAUGUUCGGCUUUUACUCUUUGACAUGUCAAGCAUUUCGUUACGCAUUCUGCAACGUCCCUUUUUAUAUUCGGCCACCAAAAAUGUUGGCGCAAAUCUUGAUACAUUUUCGUGCUUCCUGGAUGAAUUGAAUAUCUUGAGCUAUGAGCUUCAGUCAAAAUUUCUUCUUUCAGCUCUGGUGUUGCUGGAACCCAAAUUCUUCCCUCAAACCGUAGUAGUCCUUCAGUAUCGAUCUUGUAUUUUACAUCACUACCCUCAAUCAGAUUCUCUUUAAUUUUCACACUCUUCAUCUUGUUGUUGAGCAUCCUUCACUUUGUCCACUAAAGUUGGACUAGCUUCUAUCUGGAAUAGUUGUUCAUCAGAUUCUUUUGGAAAUUUGAUUUCCAACUCCAGUUUUUUCAUUGCUGAAAUGUGCUCCUCCUGAGUUGUUAUCAGCAUCAACUUUUCCCGACCUUUCCUGCUUAAAGCAUCUGCAACCACAUUCGCUUUGCCCGGAUGAUAAAAGAUCACACAAUCAUAAUCUUUUAUCAAUUCCAUCCAUCUUCUUUGACGCAUGUUCAAAUCCUUUUGAGUGAAAAUAUACUUCAAACUUUUGUGGUCUGUGUAGAUCUCACAUUUCUCUCCAUAAAGAUAGUGUUUCCAUAUCUUCAGAGCAAAUACAACUGCAGCCAAUUCCAAAUCAUGAAUCGGAUACCCUUUCUCAUAAUCCUUCAGUUGUCUUGAUGCAUACGCAAUAACUUUGACGUUCUGCAUAAGAACACAACCCAACCCUUUGUGUGAGGCAUCACUAUACACCACAAAAUUUCCUGUAUUAUCUGGUAAUGCCAACACAGGUGCCACACUUAACUUCUUCUUCAAAUCUUGGAAACUCUCUUCACAUUUCUCCGUCCAAAUGAAUUUUACAGCUUUCCUUGUCAAAUUUGUUAGCGGAGUGGCGAUCUUAGAAAAAUCUUGAAUAAAUCUUCUAUAAAAACCAGCUAGUCCCAAAAAAACUCCUCACUUCUGAUGGUGUUCUUGGUUGUUCCCAAUUAAUCACAGCUUCCACUUUUGAUGGAUCCACUGAAAUCCCAUCUUUGUCAAUCACAUGCCCCAAAAAUUAUACACGGUCGAGCCAAAAUUCGUACUUAGAGAAUUUUGCAUACAACUUUUCCUUUCUUAGUGUUUCCAAUGUCAAACGUAAGUGUUCCACGUGUUCUUCUUGAGUUUUGGAAUACACUAGAAUGUCGUCGAUGAAUACCACUACAAACUUGUCUAAGAAUGGUUUAAACACCCUAUUCAUCAAAUCCAUGAAUGCAGCAGGUGCAUUGGUUAAACCAAAAGACAUCACCAGAAACUCGUAAUGUCCAUACCGAGUUCUGAAUGCCGUUCGUGGUAUAUCCUCCUUCCUCACUUUCAACUGGUGAUACCCACUUCUCAAAUCUAUUUUCGAAAAGUAUUUAGAACCCUUCAAUUGGUCAAACAAGUCAUCUAUUCUUGGCAAUGGGUAUUUGUUUUUAAUAGUGACUUUGUUUAACUCCUUGUAAAUAAUGCAAAGACGCAUUGAUCCGUCCUUCUUCUUCACGAAUAAUACUGGCGCUCCCCACGGUGACACGCUUGGUUGAAUAUAUUUCUUGUCCAGCAGCUCUUGCAACUAUACCAUCAGUUCCUUCAUAUCUACCGGAGCCAUUCUGUACGGGGCCUUCGAUAUCGGUGUUCUUCUCGGUGCUAAGUCGAUCACGAACUUAAUUUCUCUGUCAGGCGGAAGUCCUGGCAAAUCCUCUGGAAAAACGUCUUCGAAUUCCCUCACUACUGGUAUUUCUUCCAGUUUUACAUUCUUCUUCUGAGUAUCGACUAUAUAAGCUAAAUAGCCCACACAGCCUUAACUCAAAAAUUUCUUGGCCUGCAUAAUCGUCAGACAUUUCAUCUAUCUAGGCGACUUGCUACCAUAGAAUACUACCUUUGACGGAGUCAUAAGGUUUACACACUUCUUUUGGCAAUCAAUUACCGCUCCAUAUUUGAACAACCAAUCCAUUCCCAAAAUAACAUCAAACUCUCCAAGUCUAAUCGGAAUCAAAUCUACCAUAAAGAUAUUNNNNNNNNNNNNNNNNNNNNNNNNNNNNNNNNNNNNNNNNNNNNNNNNNNNNNNNNNNNNNNNNNNNNNNNNNNNNNNNNNNNNNNNNNNNNNNNNNNNNUUGUUUGAUGCUGCAGGUCCUGCAAUGGCCCAUGUACCUCCAUUGUUACCUCCAUUGCUUCUGGUAGUCACUCCAUCAUUCUUCUUAGGGCAUUCACGAGCAAAGUGAUCCUUGGAUCCGCACGUGAAGCACGCAUUCUUCUUUGGUUGAGUGCAAUUUAGGGCGAUGUGACCCUCCUGGCCAUAAUUGAAGCAAACUCGUUUCCCCAUCAAGCACGCACCCUUGUGAAAUUUCCCGCAUGUCGCACAUGCUUCAAACUUUUUGUUUUGCUGGUUACCCUGCUGGAUUCCAGGACCCAUGUUUCCAUUCCACUAUAGGCAUUUGAGGUCCCUCCUCCCUAGCCAGACUGGAUUCUCCGACAUUAGUCAUCCUGACAACAAAGUUUUAAAGUUUUAAUUAUUAAUCAUUUAUACUCGACACUCACGAGUACAUAAACUAUAAACACAUAAGCACAUAAGUGUUUUAUUACUUCUUCCUUAAAACUCGAUAAGAGUUAUCUCNNNNNNNNNNNNNNNNNNNNNNNNNNNNNNNNNNNNNNNNNNNNNNNNNNNNNNNNNNNNNNNNNNNNNNNNNNNNNNNNNNNNNNNNNNNNNNNNNNNNUUUGCUAGUCGAAGGUUCACCUACCUUCUCUUCUUUAGCUGCAAUGAGUUUAUAAAUAUGCAAGAGUGAGCAAAAUAAUUGCUCACUGGAUACAAUAUGGAAUCAACAGGAGUAUAACAAUAAUAACUGUCGAAAUAGGCUCAUCAAAAGUGAAUAGUACUCUAUAAAUAAUAAUCAGAAACUGAAAUCCCAAAAUAUGGCAAUAUACAUCACUGAGGGUCGUAAGACCAUGAACUACGUCCACAGUUGCAAGUAAUCUUUCAACUCCAACUUUAACAGUUAUAAGACUAUAAGGACCUCGUACUUAGGGGGAUCAGCCCUUCGUACAAUGUAUUGUGCAUAAACAUUUUAACGCUAUGCGUAAGUUAACCCCUAAUCAUAACAAUAGGGUUGUUCAUCUCAAUAUUUAGAGUACAAGUCCGCACCAAAGGAAGUUUGGUUUGGAAAAGCUUUAAAGGUAAUUUAGAAUUCAACGAACAUCAACUAAGAAUUAGUUGAAUAAAACCAAUAACAUUAUACUAUAGAAUAAUCGUGAUUGAAUUAAUCAUAGUAAACUAAAGUCAUGCUUUAGAAAUAAUAUAAUAGCAUACAAUUUGAAUAACUAUAAUACACCUUGCUUGAACCAUACUAAGCCAAGGUUAAUUAGAAUUGAAUACUAAGCAUGCAUAGCAAUUUGAACGAUAAAAAUGUUCGACAUUAGUAUAUAUAGUUGUGCAUGCUAAACAACAAGUUAAAUACAAGAAUAACUUGUUCGACAUCAAACCAAAGUUUAGACAGCUUGCAUCAUUAUAAGGUAAUCGAAUUGGAAAUAAUAAUUAGUUCAACAAGAUAAAGGAUUAGAAAACUUGCCUUGCUCGUAGGCUAAACCAAAUCAAUUCGAAUCACAAUACCCUAUAUAUAUAUAUAUAUAUAUACAUCAUCAUGACAUAGUUAGUCACUACCACCUUACAACUUAACUAACUACAUUCAUCAUGUAUGUUUGAUUAUUUAAUCACAUAAUCAAGUUAUAACACAAGUUAAUCUUUAAUACAUAAUUCUUCAUAGUAUAUAAAUACUAAAAUCAACAUUUUACAGUCCUACUAUCAUCACAUAACUUUUCGUAAAAUUUCGUGCUGUCAGACCAUUCUGCUAACUCGCGCUGCGGUGCCACAGUUUACACUGUGGUUGGGGCUGCGGCGCUGAGCUGGCGCUGCGGCGCGAGUCACAGGCCAAAGAUUGGCGCUGCGGCGUGGCGUCGGCGCUACGACGCGAGAUUAAUACUGUUGGGCCGCGCUGCGGCGCCGAACUCCAGAAUCUGGUGACCAAGCUCGGCAACAGUAUGAACAAAAGCCAAAUUGGCCUAAAAGCUCCAAUCUAAUAAACUAAUUAACAUGUAAUACGCAUAUAGACUUCAUAUAAACAUAUUGUGAAGACUUCUAACAUGAUUCUACCCAUAAAAUAACAUAAACAUCAAAUUUACAACACCCAAUUUUAAUGUUUUUGGCAAAUACUCCAUUUUUGAUGUUUUCAAUGAAAAUUAACACUGUGAUUUUGUUUUUCAACCAAAACAGUUAAUUCAAAAUACCAUGGUUAUGAUUAUACAUACUCUAUCAAAUUCAAUAGUCAAUUUAUAUAUAUUAACAAUUAAUCAAACCUUAAUUUUAUUUUAAACUAAGUCAUAUUCAUAUAUUUUUUAUAUGAACACUCUGUAAUAUAUCUUUCUUCACAAACUGUAUACAUACAUCAAUUCAUUGACUAUGCUCAUAUAUAAACUAAUGAAAAUAGUUUCACAACACUAAUUUAUCAUAUAAAGCCAUAUAUAACAAACAAUUUAUCAUUCAUGAAGAUUUUUACAAAGAACUUUUUUGAAGAGGAAAACUAACUAUAAAAGGAUUAAGAUCCUACCUUUGAUUAAUAAGAUGAUAGUUAUCUUGGAUUCUCAAACUUCUUUUCUCAAUUUCUUUCUCAAAUCCUCUCUAGAAUCCCUCAAGUUCUCUAUCUUUUCUUCUUUUCUUUCUUCUUCUUCUUCUGAGUUUCUCUUCUCCCAACUCUAGUUUUCGUAUUAUCAUAUAACGUAUAAUAAUAAUAAUAUAGAUAUUUAAGUAUAGGAUUUUAACUGACAUCAGUUAUAAAAUUUUGAAAAUCAAAAGCCAUAAGGCUUGUUUGGCUAGUUAACUAAAAAUUAACCCAUUAACCCUUACACCUUGUUUAGUAAACCUAAUUAAAACAAAAAGAUUAAUUCUUAUACCUUGUUUGAUAAAUUAUCAUUAGAUUAAAGACUUAAUAUGCAAUAAGACAUGUUUGGCAAAACUAAAUUAAACUCUUUUAAUUUAUUUUAACAAUUCCCUUAUAGCAAAGUUAUUUGUCACACUUCUUAUUAAAUUAAAUAAUCAAUUUAAUCAACUUAAUCAAUUAAAAUAUUAAUCUAUUAAAUUACUUUAACACAUAAUUCAAUAUCACAUAAAUUAUAAUUUUAUUCAACCAACUAACACUUUAUUUUAAUCACAAAUUCCGAUUAAUACUAUAAUUCAUUUAAUCAUUAUAAGCUCUAUAGCUUACUUAUUAAAUUAAAUUAGUAUAUAAUCUCAUAACAAUUAAUUUAAUUAACUCCUUAAUUAUUUAUUCAACAAAUAAUUAACUAAACCACAUCAACUCAAAUUGAACAAUUAUUUAUUCAACCAUAAACAUAUCCAUUAAAUAUUUAUAUAAAUCAAUAAAUAUUUAAUAUUUAAUAUUUAAUAUUUAAUUCUGGAAUGUUACAGUGGCACUCAACAAUUUAUCAGAUUCUCACAGCUUUCCAAAAUAUGUCCAAGAAUGAAAAUCAUGGAGUCCAGACUGGUGGUCAACAAAAGCCUGCCCAACCACAUGACUAAAUUCCUACGAAGCAGGAGUUAUUGAAGAAUUUUGAUGAACUGGUUGAGAAGAUAUCUAUCAUACUGAAGAGUCAAAGAUGUUGACAGAGGCAGGAGACAAUGCAGUUCAAAACAGACUUCAACCCACUAUGUCUGAUAUAUCUCUCAAAAUCAAAGAGAGAGAUCAAAUCUAUCUGAAGGCUAUAAAUGAUCCGAAUGUAGAAGCUCUACGAGCACAGAAGGCUAAUGAAGAGCAAAUUAUAUCCCUCUCUGACAAGAUUGACAAUCUGAAUCAGUCUCUCUCCCUACAACUUGAGCUGAGCCAACAAGAACUUAAGAUUGAGGUUGGUAACUCAUCUUACCUGAUGGAGCAACUUAUGUCCAACAUGGAGCAACUAUCACAAGUGAUUAAUGACAAAAAAGGGGGAGAAAAAGAGACAUAGAAAGAAGCACUCAAGGAGGAGCAAGGAGAAAAGAAGACAAGAAGGCCAAGAGAAAGGCAAAGAAGAAGAUAGCAGCAGCAGAAGUAGAAUCAUCAUCUGAGGGGGAACCAAAGGAUGAUGAUCCUAUGAAUGCAGAGUUUGAGGGGGAGCCAGAAAAAAAAAAGAGCAUGAAUCUGAGGGGAGUAAAGGAAAAGAAAUGGAGUCACCAUCCCAGGGGGGAGAAGGAGGAAAAAGACUAAGUAGAUAAGCAGCUGAUCAACAUACAUCCUGGAAACAUAUAAGGAGCCAAAAAGGUACAUCUCUAACUAGUUAGGUAUAUUCUGGAUCCAGGAUGCAAUGUGUCAUAGCUUAUGUAAUUCCAAAUUAUUAUCAAUGACAUUCAUAAUUAUCUGUUUUAGAAAUACAACAGCUCACUGUAUAUAAGAUUCAUUCAUCUGAUGCAUAUGCUAUAAUUGUUUUUGUCAUAAUCAAAUAGGGGAAGAUUGUCAGGAAUAAACAUGUGAAUGUUAUUCCUAUUUAUAUAUGAUUUGAUUAUGAUAUAUAUAUAUAUAUGAAUUAAUAUGCAAGUAUGCUUGCAUUAAGAAAAGCUGUAAAGUCCUUUGAUAGAUAAUAGGAAACAUAUGUACAAGGACUUAGAAUGAAUUGAUCAAAUAUGUUAGCUUGAUCCUACAUAAGCAAAACAACUUUGUAAAGUCCUUAAAAAGAUAUGAGGUAUAAGGACUAUAAAAGUAGAAAGAUCAAGCUUGUUAGGUUGAUCUUAUAAUGUAAUAGAUAGGCUUGUCUGAUCGUCGAGCACUGCACCAGAAACCGUAGUCUGCCAGGAGAGUCGGGGAAAACUCGAGAACUAUCGAGGCAGAAUCGUAGUCUGCAAGAUAGUAGAUCUCGGACUUCGUAGACUGCCAGGAGAGACGAUGAAGGAUUGUAGUGUGUCGAGAAGAACUUCCUCGAAGCCGUAGCCUGCUGAAGAAGUCAUGUUUAGAAUCGUAGAGACAGCCUGUCUACGAGCUGACCGAGCAUCUUCCGAAGCCAAGUCAAGAAUUGUAGACUACACUCGAAGUCGUAGAGUCUACUUAUCACAUAAGAGGCAGAGAUCGUAGUCGAGCAAGAUCAGAUGAAGACAACGAGCAUAAAGUCAAAAAUCGUAGAGUGUCAAGAUCUGAUCUCGGAGUCAUAGUGUCUGCACCAUCAAAGCUGAAUUGUAGAGUGCAGAAAUAAGACUUCAACAGAAGUGCUCACAACGCCAAGAUAGAAUUGUAGAGCAAAUAUGACUCUCAACAAAUGAGCACUCCCAGAAUAUCCAAAGAAAUGAAGCCUCUAGUCUAAGCUGCAAAGAUACAUUCCACCUAAAGAAAACCAGAGAGCACUCAACGAAUGACAUGUAAUCUAACAGAAGAUCUAAGCGUCAACCCAAUCAACAUGCAAACUAUUAGCCAAUGUGGAUGCAAAAAGAAAACGUGGAUCUACCAAAGAAGGUUGUACUGCAAGAAUUGUAGUGGUUAAAAGAAAUGACUUGUAUGUAGUUACCAUAACUGAGGAGGGCCAUUGUCAACCUCACAUAAGAGACAUCUUUUACGAUAGCACCGUAAUGAGUCUGCUGCCCAAAAAUGUUUGAGCCAACAACUUGGCAUGGUGAAUAUAUCACAAUGCCAACAAUAUAACUUUCUCGCAGUGUAGGCGGGAGAGAUUCAAAAUAUUGGUUUCACAAACAAAAUUUGUAUAACUUUGAAAGAGACAAUUGUAAUGAGCUGAAGGGACAAGAUGGCGAUAUGUUGAAUGAGUACGUGAAGUUAGAACAACAAAAGAAUCCUUCAUUCACUUUUACAAUCGACACAGACAAUGAAAAAAAGAAUACUCGUUGUUUUUGGGCCGAUGCAACUUCUAGAUGGGCUUAUAGAUUUUACAGCGAUGUUGUCUUUUUUGAUACCACGUACAACACUAAUUGUUACGGAAUGAUAUUUGCACCACUAAUGGGGGUUAAUAACCAUGAUCAAACUAUUGUAUUUGGUUGUGCUUUCUUAAGUGAUGAGACCAUAGAUACUUUUGGAAUCCAGUGCUUAUUAUAAAGAGUUUUCAGAUUGCAUUUGGAAUUCAGAGAUUGUGGAAAAGUUUGACUCCACUUGGGUGGAGUUAUUGGAGAAAAGUGGGUUGACUACUAAUUAAUGGCUACAAUCAAUGUAUGACAUCUUUUAUAGAUGGGUAUCCGCACAUGUGAAUUAUGUUUUCUCAGUCGGCAUGUCAAGUAGUCAACGAGCGGAGAGUUUUCAUUCGUUUUUCAAAAGAUUUGUUUCUAAAGAAAAUUCAUUAGUGGAUUUUAUGAUUCAAUUUGGUCGAGGCCUUCAACAUCAAUGACAUGUAGAGUUGGAAUCAAAUAACAAAGAUUUGAUUGAGAGACCGAAAAUGAAAAAUAUCAAACCCUUCUUAAGUCAAAUGGUUGACAUUUAUACAUACUCUAUGUAUUAUAAAAUUGAAGAUGAGUUGUGUGAGACCUUGAAUUAUAAGUUUGAACUUAUGAAGGAGGAUGUCAACUACCAUGUAUAUAAGAUUUGUCGAAGGAAUGUCGACAAGUGUAAUGUAAGUGAAAUUCAUUAUGACAAAUCUUGGGAUUAUACAACAUGCACUUGCAAAAAGUUUGAGAGUUUGGGAAUCCUAUGUCGACAUGUACUAGCUUACUUGAAUAAGAAUCAUGAUCUUGACAAGUUGCCUACAAGAUACAUUUUAAAGAGGUGGACAAAGACAGCAAAAUCAAGUUGUGUAAUUGAUGAUAAUGGUGUGGUGAUAAAAGAUGACAACUCAUACUUACUCUUGCGAAGUCAAUUGAUUCAACGUUCUUUAGAUUUGAUUGAUAGUGCUCUCACAAAUGAAGAAGCCACAAAUGUAUUAAAAGAAUGUCUAGAUAAUGGAUAUGAAAAGAUCAAACAAAUUAUUGGGAAGAAUGAUUUCGAAAGAAAUAAGGAAAUGGAGUGUGGUGGAAUUAGUGUAUCAAAGUCAGUUAACAUGACUUCUACUUAUGAACAUAGUUAUAUUGAGCCGAACCAUGUGCGAGCAAAAGGGUGUGGCAAAAGGCUGAAGGGUGGCAAAGAACGGGCUUUGGGGAAAGUAAAAAGUGCCAAGACUAGACGUUGUCAUGCAUGUGGCAAAGUUGGGGUGACAUACGAUAAAAGAAACUGUCUGAAGCUUAAUAAUCUGUAAGCAAGUUUACUUAUUUUGACUUUGUUAUUUGUUUAAAAUUGACUUUGGUAUUUGUUUAAAUUUGACUUUGCUAUUUGUUUAAAUGUAGAACUGGAGCAUCAAAUGAAUGAUGCUACUCAGAAUCCAAGUGUAGAUAAUGAUGAUAUUGAUUCUCCCCCAGGUACAACUGAGAUUGCUAUAACCACUCAUUAAAUCUAAAUUCUGAGGUAAUGGUAAUACUCAUUUGUUCAAACUGGAUUUUUAUCUCUUUUUUUGUUCGUCACUGCAAUAUGUUUCUUCUUUCUUUAUAUAUCCAUUCAUGUUUAGGAUUGCAUCUAUCCUGUCACAUGGUGUACUUAGCUUUUAGUUCCUGUUUCUUUCUGAUUGCAUUAUUGUUGUUUAGGAUUGGUGUACUUAGUUUUUAGCUUUAAGUUCCUGUGGUAUUUUUUUCCUUAAAAAGGAUUAUCUAGGCACAGAUUACAUUACUGUUGUUUAGGAUUUGGGGGGUUUAACUUCAUGAUGGAUUUUAAUGUAUAAUAUGUCAAGUCAUCAAGUGUUCUUUAAGCUUUGCAUUUGUACAAGAACUUCAAUGCAUUAAGCUUGUUAACUAAUGUUUCUGUGGUUGAUUAUAUUCCUGUGAAUAUAUCAUAGACAUUUUCCAAAAUGCUGAUGCUACUUGAACAUUAUUAGGCUACUGCUUCUUGCAGAAAGGAACAUAAUUAAAUCAUAUCUCACUUAUUUUCAAUGUAUUUAAAUGAACAGGACGCCAAGGGACUCUCAAUGGCAAGGUUUGUAACGUGUACUCAGCUGGAGGAACCGCUUUUACGUGGCUGUGAACUGGGCAACCACAUUAGUGUUUGGCAGAGAUAAUUAAUUGAAUUAUGAUCUUAUAUCUUCUUCUAGGUCUUGUUCAGUUGUCUGUCUACAUUGUCUCUUCCAGGCAAUAUGAAAUGACUGGUACUGGAAUUAAUAUUCUUUGUCCAGUGUAUUCAAAUGUUGUUUUGCCAAGAAUGGAAAGAAAGCAACCCUGAUUUUCAGUGGCCUUGAGUUUGGGUUUGGGUUUGGGUUUGGGUUUGGGUUUGGGUUUGUUUUGGUGGCCAAGAAUUGGAUCCCUCUGUGACUUGGUUCUUUUUGUGGUCAUCAUUACAUAAGCUUGCCCAUGUUUUUCUAUAUUUAUGAAUAUAAUUCUAUUUUUUUCUUUCUUUUAAACUUGUGGUAUAUGCAAUGUUUCUCUUCUCCAAAUUAGUAACUGAUAAUCAAGCAACUGUAGUUGUGAAUGGAAGAAGUCAGUCACAUAGUUCAUGAUCAGUCACAUAUCAAAUUGUCGUUUAACAGCUCCUUCAUCUAAUUUUUCACCAGAAGCAACGUCCGCAUCAAUGGCGUGUAAGAGAAUGUCAAUUUUUUGGGAGGCAGCUAACAUGAGUUAUUGACAUCAGCUGAAAUGCUGGAGGCAUGCAAUACACCAUCACUAAAUGGAAAAAUAUUAGACUUUAGAGGAGCGUGCAGCGUGCUUUCAUAAACAGCUCACAUCACUAAAUUCUUAUUGCAUGGUUAAAAUUCCAUUUAUUAGAAAAUUUUAAUACUAAAUAUUUCAGCAAAAUCAACCAGGCAAGCUAAGAGGGUUCCAUCUGGAUCUUACAAUAUUGAACUUUAAAUAAGGAGUAAAGAAAUUUUCUCUUGUUUGGUCACACAUUUUCACAAAAUUUUGCUUUCCAGUGUAAACAAUUAUCUCCAAACAAAGUGGAACCUAGGUAUGGAAGCUAAGCACAAACAUACAUGUGCAUAGUUCUCUCUACUUCAUUAAGUUCAUGCCAUGAAGGAAUUUUCCAAAAGCUAAUUGACGAUUACGUCAAAAUUGGUCCUGAGAAUUGACUGUAAGAUGCUUUUAUCGAGUGUCCAUAAGCAGAUACAUUUGCAGGAACACCAAUCUGAAAGUGAAACUGAACCAGAACCAGAGCCAUAUAUACUAGGCUUAAAUAUAUUUUACUACCCUAAACUAUCUGUAUAUUCUACUUUGGUGAUUCACCUUUAAAUUUUUUCAAUUAGAUGAUUGAACUACUGAUUUUUUCAAUUUCAUCCAAUUAAAACUGUCACAUUAGAAAUUGCUGACGUAUCUAUUUGGGCGGGCCAUAAAUGAGCUGAUGUGUGUAAAAAAAUUAUUUUUUAUUUUGAGAUUAAACAUUAUUGAUAUAUUGAAGGGUAAAAUAGUCAUACCCCUAACAUUAAUACACUCAGACUAAAUAAAAAACAUCAAAACCCUCAAAACUAUCAGAAUCAAUCGAAGAAAUGCCCAAACUCUUGUUCAUCAAAACCCUCGUGCUUCUUACCCAGAUUGUUGUUCCUCUUUGACUAAAAAGAAAAAAACACAAAUCCUUGUUCAUCAUCUUUAGAUACCCAAACCACGACAAAAAAAGAAAACAAAACAAAAAAGUACCAAAUGUUGAUCUUCACAUCCAACGACCAGAACAUCCAAGUCCAACUAUCCACAUCUCUACAAUCUUAAUCUGACACCAUGAAACGUGACACAAAUCUCUCUCUCUCUCUCUCUCUCUCUCUCUCUCUCAAGUGAAGUCACAAUGGUAUUAGGAAGAGUGUAUAUAUUGUAUGUAUUAUGGGAGAACACAUCUUUUGUCCCAAAUUUUUUUGUUUAUUUGUGUCCUUCCACUUAAAUUUUGAUACUUAGUUUCUUACUUAACAUUAAUUAAUUUUAAAAUUAAAUAAAAAAACACGUAUCAAAAUUUAAGUGGAAAAACACAAGGAAACAAAGAAUAGAGGAUCUGCUCUCGUAUUGUGCAACACAAGCAAACCACAUGCGUAAAAUGUCUAGAUACUACUCCCCCCCUAUAUUAAUCAUUUUAUUUUUUUUAAGUGCGACGAAGGUUAUCUAUCUCUGUGACAGCACCGGUGAAUUGUAUGCAUCAUCAGGUUUACAAAACUUUAGCCCAAUCUUUGAGAUUCAAUUGCGAUAAUGGGAUAAAUUUGUAGACGCCAAAAGAUGACGAUGAGCUCAACAAUAGUCUUUAAUGGCGGAUCUUCUUCCUGGAUUUCCGACAAAUUGGAGGCUCUGAAGAGCCGGAUACCCUUCCAAAACAACGGCGAAGUAAACGCCGAAAAAUUCCAUGAAACGGCCGACUACAUUCUGCUUCUCCGAACACAAGUCUCAAUUUUGCAGGAGCUUGUUGAUUUUUACGGGUCUGGUACUACUAAUACCCAAAUAAAUUAACCAUGUACAGUAAUUUUUGUCAUUGUCAACAAAUUAAUGGAGAGAAUUUAAAGGAAUAGGUGGUUGCUCUGUAUUUCAGCUAUAUAAGUAGUUGGACAUUCAGGGUUGUAAUAUACGAGUCACAAAGUCGGAGCCGUGGAGGAGGAGGAGGCGGUGGAGGAAGAGGAGAGAGAAAUAACGAAUUUUGAUUUUCUGAGACUAGGGUUUGUGAAUGUAUUAAUUAAAGUUUUGUGCCUAAUUUACCCUUCAGUGUAUAACUAAUGUUUAAUCUCAAAAUAAAAUGUAUUUAUUUUUUUACACAUCAGCUACUUUAUGCCGCCACCCAAAUAGUCACGUUAGCAAUUUCUGACGUGACAGUCUCAAUUGGAUCAAAUUAAAAAAAUUUAAUAAUUCAAUCACCAAAAUAAAAUAUGUCAUAUAGUUUAGGAUACUAAAACAUAUUUAAGCCUAUAUACUAUACGUCAUUCCUACCGCAAUAGAAAAUAAAGAUAUGCAUUGGACAGCAGAAAUAUUUCCCUCUUGUGACGGCCUUUACAUAAUUAUAAGAAAUAAUUACCAACCCAACACGAACAAAUGAUAUUUACCUGAACAUUUCCCCUUCUGAACUAUAGAAUUGAUCAAACACAAUCAAGUUAGAUUCAAAUUUCAGUUAUAAUAUACACACAUUAGCAUCUUUAUAAUUAGCUUGGAAAGGACUACUCCACUUAAAAGCAGGUCAUCACCAAACAAAUGAACAUAAUUAAAGCUUCCAAAACCUGCGAAUGCAAAACUGCAAACUUAUGAAGGCUGAGAAAGGUGAUUCCAUAAUUAUAAUUUUCUUAUUCAUUUAAAUAUAUAACUUUACCUAAAUAUAGUCAGACUAUCAGAUCCUGUCCAAUUUGCCUUUUCUCAUUUUUUAUACAUACUACAUGAGUAAGUCUCUCCCAGUUUGCUUGCUUUCUUUUUAGAUGAAGCACCUCGUGGGGGAGAGAGGAGAAGAAUAGAGUAUAAAAGUGGAGCACAAGGAGUCCACCCUAAAAAUAUAAGUAGAUAAAACAAAGAAAACCCUCUGAAAAGUACAAUUUAGAAAGCAUUAAUUUGGAAUUGGGUGAAAAUCACAAGCUCUUACUACAAUGGAAUAUACAAUACAUCUUUUUUAUGUUAUCAACAUUGCUAUAUGUAAAAAAAAAAUAAACGCUUUUGAGUAGUUACAAUACAACAAGCAACAAGGAUCGAAUAUGCAGUUUAGGAGACACCAUCUUGGUCAGUAAAACCCUUUUUGUAAACCACAUGAAUUUAGCAUACACAGGCUCAAGUUGUCAAUGAAACAGUUAGAUUAAGGUAUUCAAUAACAAUAUCACAUAUGCAAUAAGGUUAGAUUCUAGAAGGUAACAACCCAAAUAACAAUAUUUACUCCAUCUUGGUUUACAACAAGCUAUACUAAGUUUAAUUAACCCAAAUGACAAUAUUUACUCCAUCUUGGAUAAGGUUACAACAAACUAUACUAGAAGUUUAAUCAACCCAAAUAACAAUAUUUACUCCAUCUACCAAGAACAAACAAGUGGAGUAAUAAAUUUUAUUCUUCACAUUUUGCCUAUUGCAUGCAUGUUCUCCAUCUCUUGCUUCAUUCCGUUAAUCUUUCGAAGUAAUCCGGAAAUUAUUUGUCUUGAUCUAUCACACAUUGGAGGAUCAUACAAAGCAAAAAACUGACAAGCAUUCCUCUGUAAACAAAGAAGUUUUCAAUUUUAUGUGCAAGUAAAUUGAAUGGAAGAGAUAUAUAAAAAAAUUGAAACCCUAACACACUUACUUUUCCAUAAUUCGGACAUGAUAAAAUCAUUCUUCCUGGGUUUGAAUCGGUCCAUGUUGUUUUAAGUUGAGCUCGCCUCUCACAAUCACAAUGUGCGUUCAUGGCUGCUCAUAUCCUUCCUAAAAUCAUUAUUCCGAGAACUAAAUUCGAGAAAUUAAAUAGUACUAGAAGUCCUAAAUUUCGAAUUGAAGAGACGUGAGCAUGAGAAUCAAUUAAAUAUGAAAAUUAAUUGGGCCGUUAAGGAGAUGUAUCUGUAGUUUAAAAGACAUUCAACCUAACGAAGUUCCUAUGUUUCUCAAUAUAAAGUCCAGUCCAAUUAGAGAUGUGAUAUAAACUAAACUAUAACUACUAUUUAACUCAUCCAAUUUGUUAAAAACAAGUUCGGGAAAAUGUUUUAGCAACCGAUUUUUUUUUUGAGAAUUUAUGAUGCAGUUGUAUCCCUUCAAGUGAUCCCUGCAGGAAUCCUUGGAACCUAUUUUCAUUUGAAUUUAUUUACAUUUUUUAUAAGUUCAUGUCCACAAAUAUAUGUUUUUGGAUCAAGUAAAACAUAGGAUAAAUAAAUUUUCAUUUGAUAUUAUCUACUAAAAUAAUCUUUUAGGAUCAUCAUCCAAAAUACUUGAAUCUUUCUAAAACUACCUGCUCCAACCUCGAAUUCCUAUUUGAUGAGCUCUAUUUUUCCUUGCUUUCUACAUUCAACAUAGCUACUAUUAAUAUUUCUAUUCAAUAGUUAUAAUUUGCAGUAAAUAUUUAAACCCCAAUACAUAUACCAGGUUAUUUCCUCAACCUCCUAACCCCUGUAAAUAUUUGAAAACAAAUAAAUACUUCAUACUCAAAUAAACAUCCAUAAACACACCUUAGAAUGUUAAACCUGCCUUGCAUCACCCACCUCCAGUAAGUAUGCACAUCCUCCACUAAACAAAUUAUAAACUUUACAAAGGAAAAUCCCUAAAACUGAAACUAUUGUCAACUCAAAACAAAGGAAAAUUCUUGAAUUCAAACUAUUGUCAGCUCAAAAUAAAGGAAAAUCUCUAGUACUCAACAAAACUUUCAUGAAUUGAACUGGGUCAAAAUUAUUGAAAACCAAAACAAAAAAAUCCAAAAUUUUAAGCAUAAUUCAACACUAACAAAAUGCAGAAACCCACUUCAAAUUUUCUCAACAGUAGACAAUUCAAGCAUCAAAAAGACCAGACAACAUUAUUAAGAGUAUAUAUUAAUCGAACACUGGAACGAGAAGAAAAAAGAGGGGGGUUUGUUGCUCUGACCCAAUUGGAACGACUAGAUGGCCGGACGAGGUUUGGUGAGCCGUGCAGUGAAUUGAGCGAACGAAAGAAGAAAUAAGGGUCGAAUUUAGGAGAUCUGCACUGCACGGGGUUUGGUGAGCCGAACGAAAUCGACGAGAGUGAAUUGAGCUAAGGUCUCGUGUGUUAUUUUGGAUGUUCAGAGUGCGAGGAGAGAGAAGAAAUAAGGGUUUUGUUUGUUUUGGCUGAUCAGGGUGCGGGAGAGAAAAAAUUUGGGUCUUAUUUAUAGGUGAGUUGGGUGAGUAAGAUAGUGGCUAAUCGGGUAUGAUAUAUAUAUAUAUAUAUAUAUAUAUAUAUAUAUAAGAUGUAAACGCACCGGAUUUGCUAUCCAUGCUCAAUCAAAUUCGAGUUCGAUGAUAUAUAUAUAUAUAUAUAUAUAUAUAUAUAUAUAUAUUAGUAGAAAUCUGAAAAAUCUUACAGUGGGCUGCCAAGGACUUUAGAUAGCUUUUGAUGCCUGAAAACUCGGUUUCUGUGACGUCCCCAAAAUAAGUAUAAAUCACUCAUUCUGAGUCGUCAAAUACAUGGUACAGAACUUAAAUGCAAACUUCAUUUAUACAAUACGACAAAACGUAGCUGAAAGUUUUAACACGGAUAGUCUCGUAUAUUGUCUCGUAGACAAUAUCCAAACUCAAAUGGAGUUUGCAUUAUAAUUAUAAUUACACUACUUCACAGAAUAGUGAGGACUACUAAAUCAACAAUCUGGACCGUCACUCCAUUCCCCGACUAGUCCCAACUAUAUUCUGAUUUCCUAAAGAGAACAAUGAAAGCAAAUGGUGAGCUCAACUAACCCAGUAAAGAAUAUUAUAACUAAAAUAAUGGAGAAUAAAUUAUCGUUAGCCUUCAACAGUAUAACAACUAAUAUAAUACAAUAGACGACAAGUUUUAGAUCAACUGCAGCGGAAAUAACAAUCCAUUAGAAGAGUCAAGUAGAACAUGAUAUCUACUAUCUUCUAUGAUUUAAAAGUUUAUCAUCAAUUUUAUCGCUGAAACUUGGCUCAAUAAAUAAUUCACAUCACUGAAUUAUCCAUGCACUGCGGGCCAAGAAUAUUCAUUAUUAUCACAUCCACAAAUCAUUCAUGCACUACGGGCCAAGGAUAUUCGUUAUUAUCAUCAAUGGUCAUGACCAUGCCAAACAACAAUUCAUUUUUUGCACCCUUGACCGAAGAGAACGCAUGGUCAUGAUCAUACCAACUGUCCAUCAAUGCACUACGGGCCAAUGAGGACUUACCACAUCAUUUGUAACAUUACAGGUCAUGAUUAUACCGAUACAUAAUUCCUGGUCAUAAUCAUACCAAUCAACAGUUCAUCUAUACACUACGGGCCAAAGAUAAUUUUUAUCACAAUAUAAGCAUGAGGAUGAUGACAAUGAUAUAAGCAUCAAUCAAACGAAAUCAAGGAUAAAUAUUAAAGACUUUAAAUUUAUCCAGAGUUUAAAAAUGUCCAAAUUGUCAUCAUGAUAACUGCUUUGUGGAGUAAAAUUCAAGAAUAAUAUUGUAUCAAAAAUAAUUUGGACAGAAAAGAAAUCAAUUUAUGUCAUGAAUAGUACCCCAGUGAAUAGUACCCGAGUGAAUAGUCCUUCGUGAAUAGUACUUCGUGAAUAGUGUCAUACGUAUGAAUAGUAUCCAUGAAUAGUACUCCGGCAUGAAAAGCUUAAAAUUUAACAAUAAUGUUCAGAAAAAUAUCCUUGUGAAACUAUACUAGAUAAAGCGCAAAUUUCAAGUAUAUUCUACUAAUUUCAAGGAGUAUAGAAGCAAUAUUUAACAAAAUGACUGUAGAAUUAGGAAUAUAAAACGAAAUAAUAUUACUUACAUACUACAGAGUAUGGAAGAAAUUAUUUCUUACGAAUAUUGAACAAAAAUAAUAUCACUUACAACUGUUGAACGAAAAUAAUAUUCUUUACGAAUAUUAAACGAAGAUAAUAUUUCUACAAAUAUUGAACGAAAAUAAUAUUCCUUACAAAUAUUAACGAAAAUAAAAUUUCUUACGAAUACGAAAAAUAAUAUCGUAAGCGAAUAUGAAAUAAAUAAUACUUCUUACUACUGUUGAACGAAAAUAAUAUUCCUCGAAUAUUAAACGAAGAUAAUAUUCCUUAGAAACAUUGAACGAAAAAUAAUAUUCUUUACGAAUAUUGAACGAAAAUAAAAUUUCUUACAAAUACGAAAAAUAAUAUCAUAAGCGAAUAUGAAAUAAAUAAUACCCCUUACCUUAAAAAGAAAAGUAUUCCGACUGGUAUAGCGGAGAUAUUCUUGAAAAAAACUUGCAAUGUUUUCUACACUCAAAACUUUCUUAAACUCUAAAGAAAUACGCUCAAUAUUAUAGAAGAAGAAUUCUCUGAUUCUGGUGUGAUUUUCAAUUCUAAACUAAGCAUCCUAUUUAUAGGAGAAUCGCAGGAUACUAUUUGGAUCCACAAUAAGGAAAAAAUCACAGACUGCACAGUAACUUAUUCACGGAUUUCUGACGAAUUUUCUGAUUUUACUAUGCAGCACUAUGCAAACACUAUACAAACACCAUGCAUAAUAAAUUAAAAUAUAUUCUAUUUUUCAUAAAAAAAUAAAACUUAUUAUAAUAUAUAUAUAUAUAAAUAGNNNNNNNNNNNNNNNNNNNNNNNNNNNNNNNNNNNNNNNNNNNNNNNNNNNNNNNNNNNNNNNNNNNNNNNNNNNNNNNNNNNNNNNNNNNNNNNNNNNNAAAUACUUAAUAAAAAUCCUCUCUAUUUAUCUCAAUUCACUUGGCUUCACAAAAUAUAUUUUUAAUAAUAUUUAUCAUUAAUAUUAUAACUCACAAUAUUAACCAGAUCAUUCUCAGAAAAGAGGGGGCUUUCCAAUAAGAACUUCUCCUUAUUGACGCGCAAUUAGGUGACCAAACCCCUUUCCUCGACAGAAUUUUCUAGACCUCGUCAAUAAUGCAAAUAUUAAUAUGAAUAACUUUGUCGUUUCAAUUAUUGAUUUAAUAAUAUAAAAUAUUGUGAUAAUAAUUGAAUCAAUAACGUAAAAUACUAUGCAGCAAUUACUGUGGCAAUAAUUGAGUAUAACUGAAUGACUUCUCACGUAAACAUCAAAUAUCGUGUGCUACUAUGCAACGCGUAUUACUGUAUUUUUAUCACCGGGUAUUUCAACAGUUAACGAUAAAACCUUAGCUUUUAUUUUUAUAAAAAUUUAUUUCUGUCGUUUUCUAACUCCAACAGUAAUUCCGUUGUGAGGUCCACCAAUGAUUGUGUCAUCGUACGAAUAUUCCUUGAUAAAACGAAAAUUCCCCGACCAAACGAAUAUUUUAUAACUUGCUUACUUUGCAAAAUUUGUAAAUAUUACUCACAACUAUAACAUUAUAUCAAAUCCACACCUUAUUAUUCAAAAUAAUAUUUAGAAAAAAUUAAAUCUUUAUUCAUAAAAGUUGGGGUCUUACAGUUUCCACCGGUUAAACUUCAGUAUGUUACAAAACACGAGCUCAGUUUAGAGCACGCUAGUAGGGGUUACAGGCCGAAAUGGACAGAGUUUUCUCUCUUUUUUCCUUUUUUUUCAAAUGAGAUAUAUAUAUAUAUACAUAUAUAUAUAUAUAUAUUUACAUUUCUGUCAAGCCUGGAGUUUAC